rnacentral:tRNA from 1 species
CCCCUCGUGGCUCAGUGGUAGAGCAACGGUGCGUAAUGCCAGGGACCCGGGUUCGAUUUCCGGCGAGGGCG